rnacentral:rRNA from 1 species
GAUGAACGCUGGCGGCGUGCCUAAUACAUGCAAGUCGAGCGAACAGACGAGGAGCUUGCUCCUCUUACGUUAGCGGCGGACGGGUGAGUAACACGUGGAUAACCUACCUAUAAGACUGGGAUAACUUCGGGAAACCGGAGCUAAUACCGGAUAAUAUAUUGAACCGCAUGGUUCAAUAGUGAAAGACGGUUUUGCUGUCACUUAUAGAUGGAUCCGCGCCGCAUUAGCUAGUUGGUAAGGUAACGGCUUACCAAGGCGACGAUGCGUAGCCGACCUGAGAGGGUGAUCAGCCACACUGGAACUGAGACACGGUCCAGACUCCUACGGGAGGCAGCAGUAGGGAAUCUUCCGCAAUGGGCGAAAGCCUGACGGAGCAACGCCGCGUGAGUGAUGAAGGUCUUCGGAUCGUAAAACUCUGUUAUUAGGGAAGAACAAAUGUGUAAGUAACUAUGCACGUCUUGACGGUACCUAAUCAGAAAGCCACGGCUAACUACGUG